AUGACGUCGUUUUGUCGUUACGGGUUACACGUGUUUUCUAAGCGUUACUUGUCGUUCGUCGUGACCGUUCACUCACUCGUCUGCUGCUGGUCCCGUUGCCGGAGCAGCCCGUCGAAAAAUUCGGCGGCAAAGUCGCGGACGUUUUCCGGCUGUUCCCGGAUGACGGCCCGGACGAACCGAUCGGCCAAACAGUCCAGACCCCGGGGUAUUUCCGUCCGUUUCCUGUACGCCUCGUAAGCCAUACGC